rnacentral:rRNA from 1 species
UUGUGUGUGAUGGCGUGCCUUUUGAAGAAUGAGCCUGCGAGUCAGCGGCAUGUCGCGAGGUUAACCCGUUUGUGUGGGGUAGUCGUAGCGAAAGCGAAUCCGAAUAGGGUGGCAAGUGGCAUGUCCUGGACCCGAAGCGGGGUGAUCUACCCAUGGCCAGUGUGAAGCAGCUGUAAGAGGUUGUGGAGGCGCGAACCCACUUAGGUUGAAAACUGAGGGGAUGAGCUGUGGGUAGGGGUGAAAGGCCAAUCAAACUCCGUGAUAGCUGGUUCUCCCCGAAAUGCAUUUAGGUGCAGCGUGAUGUGAGCUUGCCGGAGGUAGAGCUACUGGUUGGUUGAGCGGGACUAUCAUCUUAGCGACGUCAGCCAAACUCCGAAUACCGGUUAUAGUGGUGCAUUGCAGUGAGACUGUGGGGGAUAAGCUUCAUAGUCGAGAGGGAAACAGCCCAGAUCGCCGGUUAAGGCCCCUAAGGGUGUGCUAAGUGGAAAAGGAUGUGGGAUCGCGAAGACAGCCAGGAGGUUGGCUUAGAAGCAGCCAUCCUUGAAAGAGUGCGUAAUAGCUCACUGGUCGAGUGGUUCCGCGCCGACAAUUCAGUGGGGCUCAAGCACACCGCCGAAGCCGCGGCAAACAAUUUUGUUGUUUGGGUAGGGGAGCGUCGUGUGUGGGGUGAAGCCGUAUCGGAAGGAGCGGUGGACUGCAUGCGAGUGAGAAUGCAGGCAUGAGUAACGAAUGGCAAGUGAGAAUCUUGCCCGCCGGAUGACUAAGGGUUCCUGGGUCAAGUUCGUCUUCCCAGGGUGAGUCGGGUCCUAAGGCGAGGCCGACAGGCGUAGUCGAUGGUUAACGGGUUGAUAUUCCCGUACCCGUAUGUGCGCGCCCAGUAUCGAAGCGGUGAGACUAACCACCCUGAUCUGCCGAUCGUUGCCAUCCCUUCGGGGAUGGUUGGUUGGUGGUGAUGCGUGGGGCCUGAUCCGUUGUAGGUCAGUGAUGGGGUGACGCAGUGAGGUAGCUAAGCCGCUUAUUGGAUUGCGGUGCAAGCGUGUGGCACGACAACAUUGGUCAAAUCCGGUUGUCAUCAAGUGUGAGGCGUGAUGCGUAGCCCGAAUCGGGUGAUGUUGGUGAUCCUGUACUGCCGAGAAAAGCCUCUAGCGAUGUGCAUGUACGGCCCGUACCCAUAACCGACACAGGUGGUCAGGUAGAAAAUACUAAGGCGAGCGGGUGAACUGUGGUUAAGGAACUCGGCAAAAUGCCCCCGUAACUUCGGGAGAAGGGGGACCACAACCGGUGACACACAUUCGUGUUGAGCUGGUUGGGGUCGCAGAGAAGAGAGGGGAGCGACUGUUUAUCAAAAACACAGGUCCGUGCGAAGACGGUUAAGUUGAUGUAUACGGACUGACGCCUGCCCGGUGCUGGAAGGUUAAGAGGACCCGUUAGGACAUUGUCCGAAGCGGAGAAUUUAAGCCCCAGUAAACGGCGGUGGUAACUAUAACCAUCCUAAGGUAGCGAAAUUCCUUGUCGGGUAAGUUCCGACCUGCACGAAUGGCGUAACGACUCCCCUGCUGUCUCAACCACAGGCCCGGUGAAAUUGCAGUACGAGUAAAGAUGCUCGUUUCGCGCGGCAGGACGAAAAGACCCCGGGACCUUCACUAUAGCUUGGUAUUGGCAUUCGGUGCGGUUUGUGUAGGAUAGGUGGGAGACUUGGAAGCAUGCACGCCAGUGUGUGUGGAGUCGUUGUUGAAAUACCACUCUGACCGUAGUGGAUAUCUAACCUUGGCCCAUGAUCUGGGUUGGGGACAGUGCCUGGUGGGUAGUUUAACUGGGGCGGUUGCCUCCCAAAAUGUAACGGAGGCGCCCAAAGGUUCCCUCAGCCUGGUUGGCAAUCAGGUGUGUAGAGUGUAAGUGCACAAGGGAGCUUGACUGCGAGACUUGCAAGUCGAGCAGGGACGAAAGUCGGGACUAGUGAUCCGGCACCUACUUGUGGAUGUGGUGUCGCUCAACGGAUAAAAGGUACCCCGGGGAUAACAGGCUGAUCUUCCCCAAGAGUCCAUAUCGACGGGAUGGUUUGGCACCUCGAUGUCGGCUCGUCGCAUCCUGGGGCUGGAGUAGGUCCCAAGGGUUGGGCUGUUCGCCCAUUAAAGCGGCACGCGAGCUGGGUUCAGAACGUCGUGAGACAGUUCGGUCUCUAUCCGCCGCGCGCGUUGAAACUUGAAGAAGGCUGUCCCUAGUACGAGAGGACCGGGACGGACGUACCUCUAGUGUGCCAGUUGUUCCGCCAGGAGCACGGCUGGUUGGCUACGUACGGGAGGGAUAACCGCUGAAAGCAUCUAAGCGGGAAGCCUGUUUUAAGAUGAGGUUUCAUUUGAGGUUCCCAGGAGACUACUGGGUUGAUAGGCCGGACCUGGAAGCACAGCAAUGUGUGGAGGCGACCGGUACUAAUACACCAAUAAAC